rnacentral:rRNA from 1 species
CACGCCCUAAACGAUGCGAACUGGAUGUUGGGUGCACUUUGGCACGCAGUAUCGAAGCUAACGCGUUAAGUUCGCCGCCUGGGGAGUACGGUCGCAAGACUGAAACUCAAAGGAAUUGAC